GAUGAAGAACGCAGCGAAAUGCGAUACUUGGUGUGAAUUGCAGAAUCCCGUGAACCAUCGAGUCUUUGAACGCAAGUUGCGCCCGAAGCCAUCAGGUUGAGGGCACGUCUGCCUGGGCGUCACAUAUCGUUGCCCAAUGCCUAUUGCAGUGCAAUAGGAAUUUCUAGGGCGAAUGAUGGCUUCCCGUGAGCGUUGUUGCCUCGCGGUUGGUUGAAAAUCGAGUCCUUGGUAGGGUGUGCCAUGGUAGAUGGUGGUCGAGUUAGAACGAUACCGAUCAUGUGCAUGCUCCCCAAAAUAUGGCCUCUAUGACCCACACGCGUCUUUUGACGCUCAUGACGAGACCUCAGGUCAGGCGGGGCUACCCGCUGAAUUUAAGCAUAUCAAUAGCGGAGGA
rnacentral:misc_RNA from 1 species